CCUACGGGUGGCAGCAGUGGGGAAUAUUGGACAAUGGGCGAAAGCCUGAUCCAGCCAUGCCGCGUGUGUGAAGAAGGCCUUCGGGUUGUAAAGCACUUUCAGUGGGGAAGAAAGCCUUGGGGCUAAUACCCUCGAGGAAGGACAUCACCCACAGAAGAAGCACCGGCUAACUCCGUGCCAGCAGCCGCGGUAAUACGGAGGGUGCGAGCGUUAAUCGGAAUUACUGGGCGUAAAGCGCGCGUAGGCGGUCUGAUAAGCCGGUUGGGAAAGCCCCGGGCUCAACCUGGGAACGGCAUCCGGAACGGUCAGGCUAGAGGGCGGGAGAGGAGGGUAGAAUUCCCGGUGUAGCGGUGAAAUGGGUAGAGAACGGGAGGAAUACCAGUGGCGAAGGCGGCCUUCUGGACUGACACUGACGCUGAGGUGCGAAAGCGUGGGUAGCAAACAGGAUUAGAUACCUUGUAGUC
rnacentral:rRNA from 1 species